rnacentral:rRNA from 1 species
GUCUAUGGCCAUGCCGCCCUGAACACACCCAAUCCCAUCUGAUCUCGGAAGCUAAGCAGGGUCAGGCUUGAUUAGUACUUGGAUGGGAGACCACCUAGAAAGACCAGAUGCUGUAGGUG